rnacentral:rRNA from 1 species
GCAUAACGCGAAGAACCUUACCUGGCCUUGACAUGUCCGGAAUUCUGCAGAGAUGCGGAAGUGCCUUCGGGAAUCGGAACACAGGUGCUGCAUGGCUGUCGUCAGCUCGUGUCGUGAGAUGUUGGGUUAAGUCCCGCAACGAGCGCAACCCUUGUCCUUAGUUGCCAGCGAGUAAUGUCGGGAACUCUAAGGAGACUGCCGGUGACAAACCGGAGGAAGGUGGGGAUGACGUCAAGUCCUCAUGGCCCUUACGGCCAGGGCUACACACGUACUACAAUGGUCGGUACAGAGGGUUGCCAAACCGCAAGGUGGAGCCAAUCCCAGAAAGCCGAUCCCAGUCCGGAUCGGAGUCUGCAACUCGACUCCGUGAAGUCGGAAUCGCUAGUAAUCGCGGAUCAGCUAUGCCGCGGUGAAUACGUUCCCGGGUCUUGUACACACCG